AUAAUCCAGGGAACUUGGUCUAACUACCCCAUAGCAAUUAUUUGAGGCAUCUUAAAUAAUUUAAAGCUUUGGUGGAUACGGAUUGGCUCGCGUGACAUUAGCUAGAUGGUAAGGUAACGGCUUACCAUGGCUACGAUGUCUAGGGGUUCUGAGAGGAAGAUCCCCCACACUGGAACUGAGACACGGUCCAGACUCCUACAGGAGGCAGCAGUGAGGAAUAUUGGACAAUGGAUGGAAAUCUGAUCCAGCCAUGCCGCGUGCAGGAAGACGGCCCUAUGGGUUGUAAACUGCUUUUGUGUGGGAGCAAUAAGGUCUAUGCGUAGACUGAUGAGAGUACCAUACGAAUAAGCAUCGGCUAACUCCGUG
rnacentral:rRNA from 1 species